rnacentral:rRNA from 1 species
AUACAGUGGAGAGUUUGAUCCUGGCUCAGGAUGAACGCUAGCUACAGGCUUAACACAUGCAAGUCGAGGGGCAGCAUUGGGAUAGCUUGCUAUUCCAGAUGGCGACCGGCGCACGGGUGAGUAACGCGUAUCCAACCUUCCCCGUAGUAGGGCACAGCCCGGCGAAAGUCGGAUUAAUUCCCUAUGCUCUUCACAGAU